rnacentral:rRNA from 1 species
UACGGAGGGGGCCAGCGUUGUUCGGAAUUACUGGGCGUAAAGCGCACGUAGGCGGCUUUGCAAGUCAGAGGUGAAAGCCCGGGGCUCAACCCCGGAAUUGCCUUUGAGACUGCAUCGCUAGAAUUGUGGAGAGGUAAGUGGAAUUCCGAGUGUAGAGGUGAAAUUCGUAGAUAUUCGGAAGAACACCAGUGGCGAAGGCGACUUACUGGACACAUAUUGACGCUGAGGUGCGAAAGCGUGGGGAGCAAACAGG